rnacentral:rRNA from 1 species
GUAGGUGGCAAGCGUUGUCCGGAAUUAUUGGGCGUAAAGCGCGCGCAGGCGGUUCUUUAAGUCUGAUGUGAAAGCCCACGGCUCAACCGUGGAGGGUCAUUGGAAACUGGAGAACUUGAGUACAGAAGAGGAAAGCGGAAUUCCACGUGUAGCGGUGAAAUGCGUAGAGAUGUGGAGGAACACCAGUGGCGAAGGCGGCUUUCUGGUCUGUAACUGACGCUGAGGCGCGAAAGCGUGGGGAGCAAACAGGGAUUAGAUACCCUGGUAGUCCACGCCGUAAACGAUGAGUGCUAAGUGUUAGGGGGUUUCCGCCCCCUUAGUGCUGCAGCCAACGCAUUAAGCACUCCGCCUGGGGAUACGGCCGCAAGGCUG